CAGCCGCCGCGGUAAUACGAAGGGUGCAAGCGUUACUCGGAAUUACUGGGCGUAAAGCGUGCGUAGGCGGCUUCUUAAGUCGGAUGUGAAAUCCCUGAGCUUAACUUAGGAAUUGCAUUCGAUACUGGGAAGCUAGAGUAUGGGAGAGGAUGGUAGAAUUCCAGGUGUAGCGGUGAAAUGCGUAGAGAUCUGGAGGAAUACCGAUGGCGAAGGCAGCCAUCUGGCCUAAUACUGACGCUGAGGUACGAAAGCAUGGGGAGCAAACAGGAUUAGAUACCCGAGUAGUCCCUGUCUCUUAUAC
rnacentral:rRNA from 1 species